AGAUUUCGGCUCCGUCUGCAAGCCGUUGAUCGAUCAGGGAAAGGAAGUCGAAGUGGAGAAGAUUCUGGCUUCAAGUACUACGGCACUGUCGGGGGAGUGUGUGCGGCCGUGGUUGCUGUGAUGGCUACUGCCAUUGGUGUCUACUUUGUCAGACAGUACAGAAUGAGACAACAGAAGCAGAGUCAGGCCAACGCUGAAACCAUCGUUCCUCUUGGUGCUAGAAGCUAUAUAAAUGGCUCCUUCUCUGAACCACCAUCGUUCGCAUUGUCUGUGACAUCACCAGCGUCUGUCACCCCUCAGCCAGGAACAAAGACCGGCCACUUGUAAAGGCAAGACACAGCGGACAAACAGAGUGGUGUUCAAUUUGACCCUCAAAAGUUACAUCAGUGAUUUUAAAAAAUAAUAAUAAUAUGUAUUACUGAAAAUUAACUUUUUCCAUCUUCAAAAAGAAGUCUCAAAUUUGGGGAGAUACCCGUUCGACUGAGUUUGUAAUGGCCAGGUUUGAGA
rnacentral:misc_RNA from 1 species